GAUCAUGGCUCAGGAUGAACGCUAGCGACAGGCUUAACACAUGCAAGUCGAGGGCAGCAUAAAAGUAGCAAUACUUGGUGGCGACCGGCGCACGGGCGAGUAACGCGUAUGCAACCUACCUAUCAGAGGGGAAUAACCCGGCGAAAGUCGGACUAAUACCGCAUAAAACAGGGGCACCGCAUGGUGAUAUUUGUUAAAGAAAUUCGCUGAUAGAUGGGCAUGCGUUCCAUUAGGUAGUUGGUGAGGUAACGGCUCACCAAGCCGACGAUGGAUAGGGGAACUGAGAGGUUGGUCCCCCACACUGGUACUGAGACACGGACCAGACUCCUACGGGAGGCAGCAGUGAGGAAUAUUGGUCAAUGGGCGGGAGCCUGAACCAGCCAAGUCGCGUGAAGGAAGAAGGAUCUAUGGUUCGUAAACUUCUUUUGCAGGGGAAUAAAGUGCAAGACGUGUCCUGUUUUGUAUGUACCCUGAGAAUAAGGAUCGGCUAACUCCGUGCCAGCCGCCGC
rnacentral:rRNA from 1 species